rnacentral:rRNA from 2 species
UACGAAGGGGGCUAGCGUUGUUCGGAAUUACUGGGCGUAAAGCGUGCGCAGGCGGUUUCUCAAGUCAGGGGUGAAAGCCCGGAGCUCAACUCCGGAAUUGCCUUUGAAACUGUGAAGCUAGAGUGCGGGAGAGGUGAGUGGAAUUCCCAGUGUAGAGGUGAAAUUCGUAGAUAUUGGGAAGAACACCGGUGGCGAAGGCGGCUCACUGGCCCGUUUCUGACGCUCAUGCACGACAGCGUGGGGAUCAAACAGG